UACGUAGGGUCCGAGCGUUGUCCGGAAUUACUGGGCGUAAAGAGCUCGUAGGUGGUUUGUCGCGUUGUUCGUGAAAACUCACAGCUUAACUGUGGGCGUGCGGGCGAUACGGGCAGACUUGAGUACUGCAGGGGAGACUGGAAUUCCUGGUGUAGCGGUGGAAUGCGCAGAUAUCAGGAGGAGCACCGGUGGCGAAGGCGGGUCUCUGGGCCGAUACUGACGCUGAGGAGCGAAAGCGUGGGGAGCGAACAGG
rnacentral:rRNA from 1 species